GAGCUGGCGGCAUGCCUAUCAUGCGAGUCGAGCGGAAUGACGAGAGCUUGCUCUCUGAUUUUAGCGGCGGACGGGUGAGUAACACGUGGGCAACCUGCCCUACAGAUGGGGAUAACUCCGGGAAACUGGGGCUAAUACCGAAUAAUCAGUUUGUCCGCAUGGACAAACUCUGAAAGACGGUUUCGGCUGUCACUGUAGGAUGGGCCCGCGGCGCAUUGGCUAGUUGGUGGGGUAAUGGCCUACCAAGGCAACGAUGCGUAGCCGACCUGAGAGGGUGAUCGGCCACACUGGGACUGAGACACGGCCCAGACUCUUACGGGAGGCAGCAGUAGGGAAUCUUCCACAAUGGACGAAAGUCUGAUGGAGCAAUGCCGCGUGAGCGAAGAAGGUUUUCGGAUCGUAAAGCUCUGUUGUAAGGGAAGAACACGUACGGGAGUAACUGCCCGUGCCAUGACGGUACCUUAUUAGAAAGCCACGGCUAACUACGUGCCAGCAGCCGCGGUAAU
rnacentral:rRNA from 1 species